UGUAUAUAUACACAUAUAUACACAUGAAUAUAUACAUGCAUAUAUAUUGUUAUUGUACAUAUAUUCACACAAAUGUAUAUAUGAAUAUAUACAUAUAUACACACAAAUAUAUGUUUACAUAAAUGUAUGUGUACAUAUACUUUCAGAUCAAAAUCCUCUGGAUGACACAACUAUGCACUUUGUAGUUUUUACCAAAGAUGUAAGGAAAGAUUAGGCAAAUUCAGAGUAUUUUUAUCAUAUUAAUAUUGAACAUUAUUAUCCUGAAAUUUAAAGUCUACUUAGAGAUUUGAUAUUCUUACUGUUUCUGACUGAACAGAAUUUGAGUGAUUGUAUCCUGAAAUAUGAUCCCCGUAAGUCCCACUGCUUAACAAUUAAUAUGUUAAUGACUUGGAAAGUAUUAGGCACAAAUAUUAAAAUUCACCAAGUGAGAUACCUUUAUAUACAUUUCCUGAAAAUGUAAUCGUUGCUAAAACCUUGCCAAUUUCAGUUCCCAGUAUUUCCUUCUGCCUUUUAAAAUUCAAAUCCCAUUCUCCUCCAAACUCCUCACUUUAAAUGUGUAUUAACACAACCUAUUUAUUAUUAUCUUUUUUUUUUUUUUUUUUUUUGAAAAAGCAAAGUGUUACACCUCAGAUUUGAGCUAAGAUAUAAAUCACAGAGUAUUGUUUGGCCAUCUGUCAAAUACUAUGGUAUUUAACCUUCAAACUUUCCCAUCUUUAAGACACUUUCUAUUUUUAUCAGAAUAUUAAUCUCUGCCUUGCUAGCCACUUCUGCUUUCCCUUCAUAGUUAACUUUAAUUCAUGGCAGUCUUGUCAAAAUACUUCUAUUUCACCUUUUAGAGAAAUUCCAGCUGUUUUUUUUAAAGGUUUUCAUUUUUACUAAAUGAGCACACAAGUUAGUCAAAGAAGAAACAAAUCUAAAAAAUUGCUUUUCCUUUGUAAUAAAAAUUUUGCUUUGUAAACAAAAAUUCUUUAAUAUCUGAUAUUAAAUAGCAUAUAUCCCAGUUUUUAUUAGCAUAAUUAAAAUGAUACAUAAUGUACUGAAUAUACAUGCCUUCAAUAGGGCAUGAAUUUGACAUUUCCUUAUGGCUACAAAAUUACUCUGGAAAACUAUACCAAACAAAGCAUUUACAUGCAGUUGUCCAAUGGUCCUAUUUGCCAAAUAUUUAAAAUACAUUCCCUCAAAUAUUAGCACAGGUAAAUAAAGGACCUGCAAGAGUUUCACUAAAACUGUGACAUAUUUUAACAAGUAUUUGUACAUGUUAAAUCAAUACUUCAGAAAUAUUUUGUUUAAGUAUACAUUGCUAACCUUUUACAGCAGGAAAUAGACUGUACCUUUUUGCUCCAAUCAAUGUAUCCUUGUUUUAUUGCCUCUUGCUUACUAUCCUGUGAAGUGCCUUAGUUCAGAUUCUAUAGACAGUAUAUUAAGCAAACAUUUUUUUUUCAAUUGGAAGUUAGGAAGUCCAUGAUUAAGGGGGUAGCAAAUCCAGUGUCCAGUGAGAACCUUUCUCCUGCUUAUAACAUCUUCUUGAUGUUUCCCCAUAUGACAGAGAAAGAGACAGAAGCAGAGAUCAUCUUUCCUGUGUCCCUUCUUAGAAAGGCACUAAUACCAGUCAGGAGGACUGCACCUUUAUGCAUAAUUACCUGACACAUGCUUCAUCCCCAAAUACCAUCACAUUAGGGCUUAGACAUCAGCACACUUAUUUAAGUGAGUGGAGGCAUUGUGUUCAUGUUACGAUAUCAUUAUUAUGCUAUGAUAUUAUGCCAUUAUUAUGAAGUAUACCAUUAUUAUAUCUUCAAACUAGAAAACAUUGUGGCUAUAUAUUUCAAGAAUUUGACUCUCUAACUUCAGAAAUGCAACAAAACAAAGCAUUAAAUUCUCAAUUAUUUUAUUGAACUUCUCUUUCUAUGUUUUAUUUUACUUCUUAUCACAGGUCUUCCUCAUAUCUUGUCUAGACUAUAAUCUAGACUAGUCUGCCAUCCUACAGUCUGUCUGGUGGUCCAUACUUCCUGCCAUUUACUUUAUAUAAACAUCAUGAACAAAUUAUCUUUGUGAAGUGUAGUAUUGUUUAUAUUAUUUUGAAUAAACGUUUUUGAAGUAUAAUUUAUAUAAAUAAAAUGCCCACAUUUUAAUUGUGUAUUUUGAUGCUAUAGCAAUUUUAUGCACCUUUAAACCAUCACCACUAUUAAGAUAUUGAACAUUAAUAUCAUUCUAGAAAGUUCCUUCCUGCUUUGUUUCCAUUAGUUCUCUGUCAUAUACCAGCCUCAGGCGAAUGCUAAACUGAUGUCUAUAACUAUAACUUUUUUAUACUUUUCCUGAAAUUCCAUAUAAAAGAGAGUAUAGAGUAUGUACUUUUGUGGGCCUGGAUUCUUUUGUGUACUAUCAUAGUUUGUGUGUCAGGCUUGUUGCAUACAUCAUAACUGAAGGGUUAGUUUUUCUUCCUAAUAACGAGUUAUGUGCAUUGGGAUUGUUUUGGUUAGAAGCUAUGAUAAAUAAAGCAGCUAAAAACAUACCUGCCAUUGGUGUAUGUACGUUUUCAUUUAUAUGUAGGAAAUACCAAAAAUUUUUGACUUUUACAAGAAAGGUGAAAGUUCAUUUCCAAGUCAUUUUCUAAUAUGAAGCAAAUAACCUGAUUAACACUUGGUACUGUAAGUAUUUUCAAUUUUUGCCAUUCUGUUGAGUGUGAAAUGCAUCUCAUUGUGACUUAAAUUUUAAUCAGUUGUCUCAUGAGAUUAUUGGUCCCUUGUAUAUGUUAUUUUGUGAGUUAUGUUGAUGACUUUUGUCCAUUCAAGGACAAAAGCUUUUCAUUAAUUUGUAAUUACU
rnacentral:lncRNA from 1 species